AGAGCGGCAGGGCCUUGUAGACAAGCUUGCAGGGCAGCUUGGUGGGGCCUACACAACCUCUUCCAAACAGGCUUCACUCAGCCCAAGCUGGGUUUCUGAAAACUCUCCCAUGUGAAUGGGACUGUCUCGCCUAGAGCAGGAAAAGAAGCACUGGAAUGGAAAUGAGCAGUGGAACAAAGAGGCUUUCAACUCUAAUUUAUCACCCUGGACAGAAGGUGGCUCAGCUAAACUGAAAGUCUUCAGUGCACAGAAGAGUCAUUUAUUUCACCGGAUGUGAAUAAACAACAAAUUGCAGUUGCUCUGUUGGCUGAACCACCAGGUUCCAGAUGCUACCAUGAUGCCAACCGGACUUCCCUGGGCAGACGACCCCACUAUGUAUCUUGGAGCCCACCUCCCCAGAUCCCUGACCCACUAGGGAAAACGGGGGGGGGGGGGGCUGGGAGUAUGGAUCAACCUGCCAGCGCCCACGUUCAGCAGGGAAGCAAUUACAGAAGCCAGACCGUCCACCUUUUGCACCCCACAAUGUGAUUGGUUUGAAGUUUUCCAACAAAGUAAAAGAGUGUGUGUGUGUGGGGGGGUUCAGGCCCAUCUUAAGGGCUGGUGGUGGGGACACAGACCAUUGGUGGUGGGAGCAGAGUAUAACUAACUCCUAAAUCACUAUUAAGUCAAUUAUGUCAGGGGAAAAUAGAAUAUUUCAAGUUCUUUAAAUGCUAAGAUUAUACUUCUGAGUAUAUAUUUUCACUUAAUGUCUCAAACUUGUAAACUAACUGAGUUCUGACACUGGACUUAAAUCAUUAAAGCAUUUCUAAAAUUAACUUUGUUAAACAUUCAAGUUACCUACAACUUUAAACCCAAAAGAUCAGAAUCAUUUGUUCCUGUCAUUAGCUAAGACACUAUUAUUAGUUGACAUCAUUAAAUGGCAUAAAACAUGGUAAGGAUAAAUAUAGUAGAGUAAAUCCUAACCAAGGGAUUUUCAAAGAAAAACAAGUUCCCAACUAACUUGGUUAUAAUAAUAGUUAUCUAGUAACUUUUUUUCCUUUUUUUUUAUUAUUGGGGAAUUAAUGUUUUACAUUCAACAGUAAAUACAAUAGUU